rnacentral:SRP_RNA from 2 species
GCUGGGCGUGGUGGUGGGCGCCUGUAAUCCCAGCUACUCGGGAGGCUGAGGCAGGAGAAUUGCUUGAACCCAGGAGGCGGAGGUUGCAGUGAGCUGAGAUCGUGCCACUGCACUCCAGCCUGGGUGACAGAGCAAGACUCUGCCUCUC